UCUGCUGCUCUAAAACGACAGUUACAUGCAUAUUGCCGCACAUCGAUAGCUCUCUACCAUUCAUCAGAGUCCCGAGCGAAGCGCGAAAGGAAGCAGCGCAAGCGGAGCGUCAAGCAUUGAUCGCUCCGUGUGAGGAGGUGCGGCGUGUCUCUAUUCUUUGAUGGUAUUUGUUUUUGUUUUUUUUUGUCUGCUGGUGGUCACCUUUCCUUGCUCGCUCGUUCGCCCGGUCUCUCUCUCUCUCUCUCUGACCUCCCCUACCCCCUCUCCCCUACCCCCUAAAAAAAAAAACGGCGACUGCGCGAGAGUCAAAGAAGCCCCACAAAAUAGAAAGCGUAGGUCUAUCAUCUUCUCGCCCGCUCUGCGUUUUGGGUGGGUUGGUGUUCUUCUCGCUAAGUGCCCACCUCUUCUGUUCUUGCCUCUUGCCGUUGUGCGCGUUUUCGACCCUUGUUGGGACUGUAGUACUCGGGACUCUAGUGAAGCGCCUCUUUUUAGUUCUGUUGUUCGUCGCGCGCUCUCUUGACCCCUGCCAUGCAUAAAAUCUUUUUGUAUUUUGUUUUUUCCUGUUCAGCGCACUCUUGUUGGCCGUCUGGGGUUUCCUUCGACGUGGAUUUGGUCACUCUCUGUUGAUUGGUCGUUGUCACCGUUGUGCCCCCCCCACUUUCCCCUCCCUUGCCCUCCAAAGUCUUCGCCGGUCCUUUCUCCACGUCUUUCCUUGGUUUGUUAGCUGUUUGUGUUUCCGUGGCGCCGUGUCUGCUGGAUUACGCGCCAUCCCUCCCCCCUCUGCCGCCCUCACCCUCCCUCUGAACUUCACUUGUUUCUCAUUCCUGUUGUGCUCCUCUUGCCGUUUGAGUAUUGUGUGCGGUUGAUUCUCUUUUUCCUCGUGUGUCGCCUUCUGGCUCCAUGCGCUAAGGUCAGGCGUUCGCGUGCAGCUUCCCUUUCGCUUGUCUGCUCCUCCCGUGUGUUUCUCCGUCUCUGCUCGUUUUUUUUUCUUCCCUUUAGGAAAUUUAGUGCGAUCGCGUCGCGGCAUCGUCGUUGCGUAUGUUUGGGCUAUCUUCUUUUUUUUGUUUGUUUUUCUGUUGCUGUUGCCGUCGUUGUUGCUCGACUCUCCGCGAUCAAAGCAGAGCUCACGUACGUCGAUCGGUUUCUCUGCUGUUGAUAUCCGAAAACCGCUGCCCCGGGGCGCGCUCGCGCUUGUCUUCUCGUUACUCCCCCCUCCCUUGUGUGUCUCGCGCUGUCCUUUCUCUCUUCCCCCUCCCCCUCCUCCAUCGAAAGUGAGCGCCCAACAGACGCGAGGACGUCGUUUUUUUUUUCGCAGCAACGCGCGCGUCUUGCCUGACCAGAGCGCGAAGCCCAUUUCGCUCGGUCAGCCAAGCUUGUUUGGUUGAAGGACGGCCAGUGGAUGCCUUUUCCUCUUGUAUCUUUUACUUUGUGUGUAGCUCUAGUCAUUAUCUGCUUGCUCCUCCCCCCACCUAGUUGGAUACUCGUCGGGUUGCACAGGUGACUGUGUCUGCACCGCUCACAGGCCUCGGAGUGCGGAGGGGGAGGCCUUUCGGCUGUACAUAAUCCUUCGUUUCCGCCUCGUCAGACUCCGGUCGCCCGCCUGUAGAGACGAUCAUGAGCUCGCUCAUACUCAUCAGCAGCAUCGCUGGUGCUAUUCUCGCUAUUUCGAGCAUAAUCUGGUGCGUCACUCAUGUUUACAGCGCCCUGCAUGCGCCAUCGCGCCGUUUGUAUGCGGAUGCGGAGAGCGUGACCCUUCAGGAGGAGAGCGCGUUUGGGGAGGCCCCUAGUGUGCAAGUGGGCGCGGGCAGAGGCGAUGACGGCGCCGCCUACAACAGCGGUCAGAGGCCAAGCCAGAAUAUUCGCGACAACUACGCCGAUCGCGACGCCAUCGACUAUCGCGGGGAGGGCAACAACUACUACUAUGGCCUCGAUGGCGGUGUGCGGCCGGCAUCUCCGAACGCGGAGCGCGUGGAGGGUAUCCCCAUUGAAACCCGUGUGCGUCCACGGCGCAAUCUGCCACGUAAUCGAAUCGUCGUGCAUCAUGGUGACCAGGACGUGUGUCUUGAUUUCCGCGGUGUCGAACGUGUGCCCCAGGCCGGCCCUCCGCCGCUCACGCUCGAAGAGAAGCAGCGCCUCGAGGAUGAACAGAAUCGCAUUGCUUCACCAGAGUUCUAUGGCCGCGCCGAGUACGAGGGCCGGCGAACCUCCGACAGGAAUACACCCAACGUGCGGCUCAGUUCUUCCUUACUACAGGAACUGCAGCUUCAGUACAGUAUGGCGUCAGCCUCCCGAGGUGCCCUCAACAACUACGCCACCGAAAGCAGCGUGGGGAGCAUGAGCUUCCGACCCGGCUCGCCAGCCGGGUCGGCGCGGCACGCACGGCACGGUUGGCAGAGCGCUACUCCGAACAGCGUCAGCUUGCAGAGCGGCAGCAUUGGCGGCCUCCAGUUUUUUCGCCGACGCAAGAAGUCGCCCACGCGCCAUGACGCAGGUGGCAGCACAAGCCCUAGCCAGGGCCUGCACCAAGUGAACUCCUUCUCCUCGGCUCCGCGCAACCGUCGGGAAGAUCUCGAGAGCACCUCCGACGACUUCGAGGACGUUUCGCUGCACAACGGCCCCGCUCAUCCUCGUCUGGAGCAGCUGCGCGAGUUCUUGCUCAAGCAGGAGCAACAGACGCUGAGCCGACUAUCCCCAACGACGAGGCUGGGAAACGUAAACGGCUUUGACCAGAUUAGCCUGCACGGUACCUCUCCCGUCUUCUUAGAUCGCCAAGUGAGCACCAGGGCAUCCGCAGCGAGCGUCAGUCCGGUCGGGAUCGGCCGAGGGUGGACCGCAGCUGGCACCAUGGCGUCCCCGUAUGACCAAAGUGUGGCGCCGUACCCGCUCCAUCAUCCAACCAUGGCCGCUGGCCUGCCGCCCUUGAAUGCCUCCUUUCAUAGCUACCAGUCGUGGCGCUCCACGUCUGUCAACUCUCCCGUCGUGGGACUGGCAGGGGCGACAUCCUACCCGCACCUGGACUCAUCAUCACCGCUUUCCGGCGCUCACCCUGGAGCGGAAGGGGCAGGUGCUAGCGCGCGCACCGGCGUCAAGCCGCUCCACCCCGUUUUGUCACCGAGGAAGGCAGCUGAAAACGCACACCAUCAGACGUCGCUUUCAGGUGCCGUGCAAGGAAGCGACAGCAACGCCGGAGCGCACGCUUUCCAUGUCGAUACGUUCUCUCCGUCGUCGAAUCGGUGGAGCAGCGGCCUGCGCUCUCCCUUCUCCCUGCCUGGAAGUGACCCAGUGACAGCAUCCUGCUCGGCAAGCUCUGGAGGGACGAGAGCACAGGCUUAGAAGUUGAUCUCGCCUCUUCCGUGCGGUGGGCGGACAGCGGCAGCGGAUGUGCCCGACGCACCGUUCGGCAGAGACGGCACAACAUAUUAGGGCACGUGGCCGGCUCUUCUUUUCUUUUGUUGUUUGCUUGUUUCUUCUUCGUCAUGUGCCGAACAUGAAAACACAACGAAAGCGGCAUACAUGAAAGGCUUUCUGUGGCCGUGCAGGUCUGUGUUUUGUACUCCAGUGCCGAUGCGCCCCUGCGAUGGGUCGACAAUGUUGUUCACCGUUCGCCCCCCCCCUCUCUGCCCCCCUUUGCGCGUGCGAGCCCGUUGGCAAGCUCCAACUCUGCGCCUCUUGUGGAUCUUUUCCUUUUUAAC
rnacentral:misc_RNA from 1 species